rnacentral:rRNA from 1 species
UACAGGGGGUGCAAACGUUGCUCGGAAUCAUUGGGCGUAAAGCGCACGUAGGCGGUCUGUUAUGUCGGAUGUGAAAGCCCUGGGCUCAACCCAGGAAGUGCACUCGAAACUGGUAGACUUGAGUAUCGGAGAGGUUGGUGGAAUUCUCGGUGUAGAGGUGAAAUUCGUAGAUAUCGAGAGGAACACCGGUGGCGAAGGCGGCCAACUGGACGAAUACUGACGCUGAGACACGAAAGCGUGGGGAGCAAACAGG